AAAUUAUUGUAUAUCAGAUGAG
rnacentral:miRNA from 1 species